AUUGAACGCUGGCGGCAGGCCUAACACAUGCAAGUCGAGCGGAGCGGCGGACGGGUGAGUAAUGCCUAGGAAUCUGCCUGGUAGUGGGGGAUAACUUCCUGAUACGGGCGCUAAUACCACAUACUAUCAAAUGAACCUAUGUCGGAUUAGCUAGUUGGUUGGUUAAAGGCUUACCAAGGAGACGAUCCGUAACUGGUCUGAGUGGAUGAUCAGUCACACUUGAACUGAGACACGGUCCAGACUCCUACGGGAGGCAGCAGUGGGGAAUAUUGGACAAUGGGCGAAAGCCUGAUCCAGCCAUGCCGCGUGUAUGAAGAAGGUCUUAGGAUUGUAAAGCACUUUAAGUUGGGAGGCGUUACCAACAGAAUAAGCACCGGCUAACUUCGUGCCAGCAGCCGCGGUAAUAC
rnacentral:rRNA from 1 species